rnacentral:rRNA from 2 species
AACGCUGGCGGCGUGCCUAAUACAUGCAAGUCGAACGAACUCUGGUAUUGAUUGGUGCUUGCAUCAUGAUUUACAUUUGAGUGAGUGGCGAACUGGUGAGUAACACGUGGGAAACCUGCCCAGAAGCGGGGGAUAACACCUGGAAACAGAUGCUAAUACCGCAUAACAACUUGGACCGCAUGGUCCGAGUUUGAAAGAUGGCUUCGGCUAUCACUUUUGGAUGGUCCCGCGGCGUAUUAGCUAGAUGGUGGGGUAACGGCUCACCAUGGCAAUGAUACGUAGCCGACCUGAGAGGGUAAUCGGCCACAUUGGGACUGAGACACGGCCCAAACUCCUACGGGAGGCAGCAGUAGGGAAUCUUCCACAAUGGACGAAAGUCUGAUGGAGCAACGCCGCGUGAGUGAAGAAGGGUUUCGGCUCGUAAAACUCUGUUGUUAAAGAAGAACAUAUCUGAGAGUAACUGUUCAGGUAUUGACGGUAUUUAACCAGAAAGCCACGGCUAACUACGUGCCAGCAGCCGCGGUAAUACGUAGGUGGCAAGCGUUGUCCGGAUUUAUUGGGCGUAAAGCGAGCGCAGGCGGUUUUUUAAGUCUGAUGUGAAAGCCUUCGGCUCAACCGAAGAAGUGCAUCGGAAACUGGGAAACUUGAGUGCAGAAGAGGACAGUGGAACUCCAUGUGUAGCGGUGAAAUGCGUAGAUAUAUGGAAGAACACCAGUGGCGAAGGCGGCUGUCUGGUCUGUAACUGACGCUGAGGCUCGAAAGUAUGGGUAGCAAACAGGAUUAGAUACCCUGGUAGUCCAUACCGUAAACGAUGAAUGCUAAGUGUUGGAGGGUUUCCGCCCUUCAGUGCUGCAGCUAACGCAUUAAGCAUUCCGCCUGGGGAGUACGGCCGCAAGGCUGAAACUCAAAGGAAUUGACGGGGGCCCGCACAAGCGGUGGAGCAUGUGGUUUAAUUCGAAGCUACGCGAAGAACCUUACCAGGUCUUGACAUACUAUGCAAAUCUAAGAGAUUAGACGUUCCCUUCGGGGACAUGGAUACAGGUGGUGCAUGGUUGUCGUCAGCUCGUGUCGUGAGAUGUUGGGUUAAGUCCCGCAACGAGCGCAACCCUUAUUAUCAGUUGCCAGCAUUAAGUUGGGCACUCUGGUGAGACUGCCGGUGACAAACCGGAGGAAGGUGGGGAUGACGUCAAAUCAUCAUGCCCCUUAUGACCUGGGCUACACACGUGCUACAAUGGAUGGUACAACGAGUUGCGAACUCGCGAGAGUAAGCUAAUCUCUUAAAGCCAUUCUCAGUUCGGAUUGUAGGCUGCAACUCGCCUACAUGAAGUCGGAAUCGCUAGUAAUCGCGGAUCAGCAUGCCGCGGUGAAUACGUUCCCGGGCCUUGUACACACCGCCCGUCACACCAUGAGAGUUUGUAACACCCAAAGUCGGUGGGGUAACCUUUUAGGAACCAGCCGCCUAAGGUGGGACAGAUGAUUAGGG